rnacentral:rRNA from 1 species
AACGAACGCUGGCGGCAUGCCUAACACAUGCGAGUCGAACGAGACCUUCGGGUCUAGUGGCGCACGGGUGCGUAACGCGUGGGAAUCUGCCCUUGGGUUCGGAAUAACUCGCCGAAAGGCGUGCUAACACCGGAUGAUGUCGUAAGACCAAAAGAUUUAUCGCCCAGGGAUGAGCCCGCGUAAGAUUAGGUAGUUGGUGAGGUAAAGGCUCACCAAGCCGACGAUCUUUAGCUGGUCUGAGAGGAUGAUCGGCCACAUUGGGGCUGAGACACGGCCCAA